rnacentral:rRNA from 1 species
UAGCUGGUCUGAGAGGAUGACCAGCCACACUGGAACUGAGACACGGUCCAGACUCCUACGGGAGGCAGCAGUGGGGAAUAUUGGACAAUGGGGGCAACCCUGAUCCAGCAAUGCCGCGUGUGUGAAGAAGGCCUGAGGGUUGUAAAGCACUUUYAGUGGGGAGGAGGGUUGAUAGGUUAAGAGCUAAUUAACUGGACGUUACCCACAGAAGAAGCACCGGCUAACUCCGUGCCAGCAGCCGCGGUAAUACGGAGGGUGCGAGCGUUAAUCGGAAUUACUGGGCGUAAAGGGUGCGUAGG